CUCCCCACAACGGGAGCAAACCCGAUCUACAAUAAAAUCAACGUCACCCUACAAGGUCCUCCCAAAUACCUAACGCCAACCACCAUGAAAAUAUACACACACAAUGUCAAAGGACUAAACACACCCCACAAAAGACGCAUACUGCUAGAAGACCUAAAAAACAACAAAGCAGACAUAGCCUGCAUACAAGAAACACACUUUGUGUCAAACCGAACCCCUACCUUCGCGACAAGAGACUACCCAUUCCAACUCCACGCAACCCACACUUCCAAAUCAAGAGGAGUCUCUCUAUUUUUCCACAAUACCAUUACAAUAGAACCCCUUCAAACAAAGAUUGACAAUCAGGGGCGCUAUAUAAUACUCCAUUGCCUAAUUAACAACAGCCCAUUUCUACUAAUAGGGCUGUACAGCCCAAAUGACCACCAACACAACUUUCUACACAAAGUACUCGCAAAACUACCGACCAACACCAAUGCCCCAAUACUGAUCUGUGGAGAUCUAAAUCACACCAUGGACUCACGCAUAGACUCCACACUCGCUAAUACCUCAAACAGACAUGCCACACUGAAAAGUAAUAGCAAAGCUCUCACAAAAUUACUACACAACCAUGGCCUAUAUGACGUCUGGAGAACACUUCACCCAACUGCAAGAGAAUACACCUUCUACUCACAGGUCCACAAAACACAUUCCAGAAUCGACUACAUACUCGCUUCCGGACCACUACUCCAACAAACCCUCGAUUGCUCCAUAGGCACCAUUGUAUGGUCGGACCAUGCACCCGUCACAAUAACAAUACGUGACAAUUACCAACAUAGGGGCAAACCCCCGUGGCGCCUUAACGACACGCUCCUGAAUGACAAGACCUUUACACAGCAACUUACCCGACAACUACAAGACUACUUUGCACUAAACGAUACUCCAGAAAUAUCCGCCGGGACCCUCUGGCAGGCCCACAAAGCGGUCAUGAGGGGAUCACUAGUCAGCAGGGCAGCCUACCUGAAACGUAAAAGAGAAAGUGAACUCAUAAACCUGCUGAAGACACUCAGGGACACGACCUCAGCACAUCUCCUGAACCCCUCAGACGCAUACAGAGAAACCAUCAAAACCAUUACCACCCAAAUCAACCAACUAAACCUUGACAAAACAGCCUACAUGCUCACCAAACUAAAAAUGAAAACGUACACACAGGGCAACAAAGCAGGGAAAUACCUAGCAACGAUGCUUAAGCAAAAGCAAGCUAACUCCAAAAUACCAUACCUAAUAGCCAAAACCGGAGAGAAGCUACUACACCCUCAGGACAUCAAUGAUGAAAUGGCUGACUACUACCAAAAUCUUUAUAACCUAAAGGACGACAUUACUGUUCACCAACCUACCUCACAAGAAAUAAACACACUUCUACAACAGGCAAGUCUGCCAACACUAUCCCCGACCCAAGCGCAAUCCAUACAAGACCAAAUAACCACACAAGAAUUCUUAGAUACCAUACAAGCCCUCCCACCCGGGAAAUCACCAGGCCCUGACGGGCUAACCAACCUAUAUUACAAACAAUUUGCACCGCUCCUGGCCCCCUACUUGCAAAAACUAUUCAACUAUGUCCUGGCCACAGGAACUAUGCCACGGGAAAUGCUGAUGGCACAUGUCACCACCCUCCCAAAACCAGGGAAGCCGCCAGAUAGAAGCCAAAAUCUGCGCCCAAUAUCCCUAUUGAGCACAGACGUGAAGCUCCUCGCUAAAAUCUUCUCAAACAGACUAACAACCAUCAUCCCAACCCUGAUCGGAAGAGAUCAAGUGGGGUUCGUGGGGGGCAGACAGGGAGCAGACGGCACACGCAAAAUCCUCAAUAUGCUACACGGAAUGCGGGGAGGAGGGGCACCAACAAUACUACUCUCGUUAGACGCCGAAAAGGCCUUUGACAGGCUCCACUGGCCCUUCCUCCUCGAGGUCCUCCGAAGAUUUAACUUCCCACCUCAAUUCCUAUCACUGAUCACGGCACUCUACUCAGCCCCAACAGCCCGAGUGGUGAAUGGAGGCUUUAUAUCCAAACCGUUCUCCAUCUCAAACGGCUCCAGACAAGGCUGCCCACUCUCCCCCCUGCUAUACAUACUAGCAUUAGAACCCCUAAUCCAAUUAAUUAGGGAAAAUCCCAACAUACAUGGAGUCAAGCUCAAAGGUCAGGAAUACAAACUAUCCCUGUUCGCUGACGACAUCCUUCUCACCCUAGAACAACCCCAUAUAUCCCUUCCAAAUUUCCAUCACCUUCAUACCCAAUACAGCCGCAGCUCCUACUACAAGCUAAAUAUAUCAAAAACGCUAGCCCUAGGGAUCAAUGUUCCAGCUCAAGACAUAAUAACGUUAAAAGCCAACUACACGUACAACUGGAGGCAAGACCAUAUAACAUUUUUGGGAGUGAAUUUUACCCCCACGCCAAACUCACUUUUCAAGGCGAACUACCUCAAACUACAAAGCGAAGUCAAAACUCUUCUACAAAGCUGGAAGGGGAAAUUCGUCUCCUGGGCAGGCAGAAUAGCCUCUGUCAAAAUGGUAGCUAUACCGAAAAUCCAAUAUCUAUUCAGAACCCUACCAAUACCAUUACCGCACAAAUACAUUCGUGACCUACAGAAUAUCAUCAAGGACUACAUCUGGGAAAAUAAAAAAACACGGGUGGCAAAAGCCACAAUGCACAACCCAUUCGCCAAAGGAGGGAUGGGACUACCGGAUAUUCGGAGAUACUACAAGGCAGCCCACAUAGCCCCCCUACUAGCAGCAUCACACCAACAUGAACCCCCAACGUGGGUCGAAAUAGAAAAAAACUACACAGACGGUCUUUCCAUACCAGCGCUAGCCUGGAUACCAAAACCGCAAAGACCCAAAACUACCGGGAUGCUACCCACGACCAAGCUCACCAUCUCAAUAUGGGACAAUUACCGGAAAAGCAUGGGCAACACAGCCCUGUACUCCCCCGCCCUCCCAUUAGAGUCAAUAAAAGCUCUUAUACCAGACUUCAACUACGAAAUCUGGCAGAGACAUGGAAUAAAAACUCUGUCACAACUGACAAGGGACUCCCACAUGAAACCGUUCUCGGAACUCCAAACAGAAUAUCAGCUACCGAACACAGUGCUAUUCUCGUACAGACAACUAUUAUCCUGGCACACCCUACAAUCCAAACAAAAACCCACCGAGAGAAAAGCCACAAGCUGGCAAACCAUAGAACAAAUAUGUACAGCAACCAAACAAACCAAAAAGCUAAUCUCCACAAUAUACACAUCAGAAGGAUUUCAACCCAAACAACGUCCCCCAUCUUACAUAACAGCCUGGGAAAAAGAUAUUGGAUAUCAGAUCACCAAAGAACAAUGGAACAACAUCUUCAAAGCACACAAACAACUCACCCUCUGCACGACCCACUUGGAGCUGACUCGCAAAAUCCUUUACAGAUGGUAUCUGGUUCCCACACGCCUUAAACAUAGCUUCCCCACCAUGUCAGAUGUAUGCUGGAGAUGCCAAAAGGACAGAGGUACUAUGCUGCAUAUAUGGUGGCAAUGCGAAGAGAUCCGACAAUUCUGGCAACAAAUAGCACACCUAAUCACUAAACACACGGAUCUCAAACUACCACAUAAACCAGAAACAUACUUACAUCUCCUACUGC